GGCCUCCUAAGAUGCCAAAAAGUUGUAGCUUGAUAGUCGAUUUGAAAGCUUCAAAAGGACACUCCGUUUUCUUACAAUACGAGGAAUUUUUUUUUAUACAAAUUCACGUUCGCAUUUACAAAUUGAUAGAUUUUUCCCGACAUGGGAAGCAAAUUUGAAGUGAAAUUCAUUUUAAAACUUGGAUAUUUUAUUCCCGGAAAAUUUAAAGUGAAAUUCACUUUGCUUUAUCCCCACCAACGUCGUUAUCUGCGUGUAGAUGAUGUUGCAAGGGAUUCCCAACUCAUAAUAACGUUAAAAAAAAGGCCCUUAAAGUCAGGAGCAAAAGUACACACAACUUGGGCCAUGUGCCACCACCAGAAUACACAUCAAAUAGCUUCUCUACAUUUGGAUGUCACCUAUUUAUUAUAUAUUGUAGAUUACUCUCUGCAAAUCUGACACACACUUACGGGCUCCCAAGAAUUGAGCAAGAAGAACAACUAAUAUAUUGUCUAAAGGCAAAGAAAAAUGUUAGAAGGGAAGGGUUUGAUAGAGGAUACAGAUAUGCCAGUGAAGAUGCAGAUCCAAGCAAUGGCUUUUGCUUCUCAAGCUCUAGAUCUCUAUGAUGUUUUUGACUGCAAAUCCAUUGCUGCCCACAUCAAGAAGGUGAUAAUAGCACAUCUCAUCGUGCUCAAAAGUUAAUUUUUUUUUUUUUUAAUACAAAAGAAGCAACUUCUAAGCUAGAAAUUUACUUUCUGGGUCUUGUGUAUAAGUUUGAUGAGAUUAGCUAUGAUUGGCAGGAGUUUGACAAGAGAUAUGGGAGUGGAUGGCAGUGUGUGGCAGGGUCCAACUUUGGGUGUUUUUUCACACACAGCAAAGGGACUUUCAUAUAUUUCACAUUGGAGACUCUAAAUUUUCUCAUCUUCAAAGUUUCUUCGUCUCCAUCAACUCCACCUCCAUAGCAGCCUUUCAUAGUUCGUUAUGGAUCGAACACAACUGAAUAGACUGAAUAGUACAAUAGAUUGACUUUAGCUUAUUUUUCUUCCUUAGUGUCUUCUAGUCCAUCUCACCAAGCAUGCCUAUUAAGAAAUUUCUAGUUGUAGAUUACUGUAAUAUUUGACUUUAGAGGCAGCUUUCACAAUGCUUUCUAUGCAGUUUUAUGUUGCAGAAUAGAACGUGUUUGGUUCCUCUAAUUGAUAAUUGAAAAUAAAUUAUAUGAAAUGGCACCAAAAGAAUCAAUCUACUGUGUAACACACAUGAUUGCAAUUUCUACCAAGCUUCUGAUGAAAUUGAACAAUAUUGUUGUUUCUAAAUAAAUAGGUGGUAUGCAAAGUUGAAGCACCCAAGAAUCUUCGUAAACAAUAAGUAGAGUCCAAAAUUUGCUAGAACGCUAGUUCAAAAUGAACAAAAUCUACUCAAAUCACUGGAGUUAAUAGAGGUUUGUGUAGAAAAUGAGCCUCCAAGUUUGCAAUGACUAGGUCAGCCAUGGCUUUGCUAGUUUCAAAAGUGUCGCUUCCAACAUGAGGUAAAAGAACAACAUUUUCGAGUCCAAGAAAAGGUUCAGGUACCUCAGGCUCGUUUUCAAACACAUCGAAUCCAGCUCCAGCUAUCCGUCCGUCAAGUAAUGCAGACACAAGUUCGGGUUCAUCAACGUGUGCACCUCGUCCAAUAUUGAUGAGAACUCCUUUGGGUCCUAAAGCAUCUAUGACCUUUCGAUUCACAAUGUGAUGGGUUUCUUCUGUCAAAGAGCAUGCCACAAUGAGGAUUUCACAGUUGGCAGCUAAAUUGAUGAUGUUGGAGUAGUAUCUGUAAUUUGUAGUUGGUUUCUUGGUUCUGGAGUGGUAACUGAUGGUGCAGCCGAAGGCUUCGGCUCUCUUGGCUAUUGCUGAACCAAUCCUACCCAAUCCAACUAUGCCAACUGCUUUACCACUGAACUGAAAAAGAAAGCAGCAAAUAAGAAAAUCUAAACAGGAAUAUCAUGGAAAAUUCAAGAAAACGAAAAGACGAGGUGAUGAUUCAAGUGAGCAGCCCUAACACUGUUACGAGCCUGAAAACGUUGGUUAAAUUACUCAAAAGUGAGACUUCAAGUGCACGAUUGGUACUGGUACACGAUAUACGAUACAACUGGGAAAUACAAUGAACCCAAUGUUAGCUUCAUUUUCCUUCUUAAAAGCAGAAUUUG
rnacentral:lncRNA from 1 species